UUAUCUAGCGACGCUACUUCUUUUCUUCUUUGCGGGUUGAUGUAAAAAUGCUCAAGGCGAGCACAAGCUUUGAAAGAAACCUCGAAAAUACAACGGAGCACCAGAGAGUCGUUACUCCCUAAAGCAAAAAGCGCAACCUAAUUAAUUACCAAACACGUCCAAAAUGAGUUAGGCCAAAGUAGAUACUUGAAAGUAUUUGAGGGCCUCUGAAAAGAGUUAUUUGUGGGUCGCCGCCAGAAUCUUAAACACAAGUAUGAGUGGCUCCACAUUUGCAGUCGCCUUCUCCACGUUGGGACAAAAGAUGGUAUGCAUCUUGUCAAAACGCCUCCUUUCCUUUCCUCUUUCCUUCCAGAUCUCCUUUCUUCCUUCCUUUUACUUUCCUUCUGUCAUUCAUUGAAGACAUGUCAAAUAUAGCCCUUAAUCACAAAAGUGUCUCAAAGGACUUCACAUGCCCUCCAAGAUUCUUUGAAUUUAAAAAGUAAAAUAAUCUAAUUGAGAUGCAUUAUUUCUCCUCAAUAUUAUGAAUAGGAAAUCUGUGUACAUUCUGAUGUAGUAUAAUGUACAGUAUGCAUUCCUUGAAAACCCAUGUCCUAACUCCUUAACACACAGGAACGAUUCAGUUCUGUUACGGAUGCAGCACAAGCCCGAAGGUAAAAAAAAAAAAAUGGCAGUUUUAGUCAUCAUAUCAUCUUAUCCACCUUUCCUUUCCUUACUGCACCGCAACUCCUCAUCCAAGUUUAAUUUCACACCGCUACACCUGGACUCGAUUCAACGGCGUAGAGGUUGUACAGAGCAGACGAACGGAAUGCAGCCAUCAAGGUCGACUAGCGCCGAACCGCCUCGUCAUCACAUACAGCUCUGGUGAGGGAGAACCAGUAAGGGGGCGGAUGUCAAGCUGUAAGCAGGAUUUUGAAACAUUUUUCCACCCCAACUAUCAAA